AUUGAACGCUGGCGGCAUGCCUUACACAUGCAAGUCGAACGGCAGCGCGGGAGCAAUCCUGGCGGCGAGUGGCGAACGGGUGAGUAAUACAUCGGAACGUGCCCAAUCGUGGGGGAUAACGCAGCGAAAGCUGUGCUAAUACCGCAUACGAUCUACGGAUGAAAGCAGGGGAUCGCAAGACCUUGCGCGAAUGGAGCGGCCGAUGGCAGAUUAGGUAGUUGGUGAGGUAAAGGCUCACCAAGCCUUCGAUCUGUAGCUGGUCUGAGAGGACGACCAGCCACACUGGGACUGAGACACGGCCCAGACUCCUACGGGAGGCAGCAGUGGGGAAUUUUGGACAAUGGGCGAAAGCCUGAUCCAGCCAUGCCGCGUGCAGGAUGAAGGCCUUCGGGUUGUAAACUGCUUUUGUACGGAACGAAACGGUCUUUUCUAAUAAAGAAGGCUAAUGACGGUACCGUAAGAAUAAGCAUCGGCUAACUACGUG
rnacentral:rRNA from 1 species